rnacentral:lncRNA from 1 species
GACAUAGACCCCUGCGUUAAAUGCUGUAACUUUUGAUAUAUCUUUUUAUAGUAGUAAGAGCGUACGAAUCUUUUUCGCAUGAUUGCUUUCUUGUCUCUCGAGAAGGAUAUUGGUCGCUCUCCAUUAUGCCGUCUAGUGAGAAGUAGUUGAUCGCACCACACGAAGGCGUAGUUAGUGAACUCUACUGCUGCUGGUUUGAUUUUCUUUUUCUCGUGGUAGUUAUAGCAAUCAAAGACUAGUUUUACCUUCCUCUCCCACUCCAAGUAUUCUUCAACAUUAUUCCUACCCUUGAAAGGUGGUAUUCUCAUCUUCAUAAAGCUGAUAUUGCUAUUCGUCC